UGGGGAAUUUUGGACAAUGGGCGAAAGCCUGAUCCAGCCAUGCCGCGUGCAGGAUGAAGGCCUUCGGGUUGUAAACUGCUUUUGUACGGAACGAAAAGACUCUGGUUAAUACCUGGGGUCCAUGACGGUACCGUAAGAAUAAGCACCGGCUAACUACGUGCCAGCAGCCGCGGUAAUACGUAGGGUGCAAGCGUUAAUCGGAAUUACUGGGCGUAAAGCGUGCGCAGGCGGUAUAUAAGACAGAUGUGAAAUCCCCGGGCUCAACCUGGGAACUGCAUUUGUGACUGUAUAGCUAGAGUACGGCAGAGGGGGAUGGAAUUCCGCNUGUAGCAGUGAAAUGCGUAGAUAUGCGGAGGAACACCGGAUGGCGAAGGCAAUCCCCUGGGCCUGUACUGACGCUCAUGCACGAAAGCGUGGGGAGCAAACAGGAUUAGAUACCCUGGUAGUCCACGCCCUAAACGAUGUCAACUGGUUGUUGGGUCUUCACUGACUCAGUAACGAAGCUAACGCGUGAAGUUGACCGCCUGGGGUAGUACGGCCGCAAGGUUGAAACUCAAAUGAA
rnacentral:rRNA from 1 species